rnacentral:rRNA from 1 species
CCUACGGGUGGCAGCAGUGGGGAAUAUUGCACAAUGGGGGAAACCCUGAUGCAGCGACGCCGCGUGAGUGAAGAAGCGUUUCGGCGCGUAAAGCUCUGUCAGCGGGGAAGAAACACGGUUCGCGAGAGCCGCGGACGGUACCCGACCAAGAAGCCCCGGCUAACUACGUGCCAGCAGCCGCGGUAAUACGUAGGGGGCAAGCGUUAUCCGGAUUCACUGGGUGUAAAGGGAGCGUAGACGGUUAAACAAGUUAUAUGUUAAAUAUAUAGGCUUAACCUGUAGAAAGCAUAUAAAACUGUUUAACUAGAGUGCAGGAGAGGUAAGUGGAAUUCCUAGUGUAGCGGUGAAAUGCGUAGAGAUUAGGAAGAACACCAGUGGCGAAGGCGACUUACUGGACUGUAACUGACGCUGAGGCAUGAGAGCAUGGGGAGCAAACAGGAUUAGAUACCCGAGUAGUC